rnacentral:snRNA from 1 species
NAGAUUAGCAUGGCCCCUGUGCAAGGAUGACAUGCAAAUUCAUGAAGCGUUCCAUAUUAAA